rnacentral:rRNA from 1 species
AGAGUUUGAUCAUGGCUCAGGACGAACGCUGGCGGCGUGCUUAACACAUGCAAGUCGAGCGGUAAGGCCCUUCGGGGUACACGAGCGGCGAACGGGUGAGUAACACGUGAGCAAUCUGCCCUGCACAUCGGGAUAACCCCCGGAAACGGGAGCUAAUACCGGAUAUGACCACUUCACGCAUGUGAUGGUGGUGGAAAGUUCCGGCGGUGCAGGAUGAGCUCGCGGCCUAUCAGCUUGUUGGUGGGGUAAUGGCCUACCAAGGCUUCGACGGGUAGCCGGCCUGAGAGGGUGACCGGCCACACUGGGACUGAGACACGGCCCAGACUCCUACGGGAGGCAGCAGUGGGGAAUAUUGGACAAUGGGCGAAAGCCUGAUCCAGCAACGCCGCGUGAGGGAUGACGGCCUUCGGGUUGUAAACCUCUUUCAGCGCAGACGAAGCGAAAGUGACGGUAUGCGCAGAAGAAGCACCGGCCAACUACGUGCCAGCAGCCGCGGUAAUAC